GCUCCCGUCGAUGGUUCCUCCUACAUCGUCGUCGUCGUUGUUGUCGUUGUCGUCGUCGUCGUCGUCGUUGAACAUUCAUCCCUUCCUCGGCGUGAGAUGCCCCUUCCUGUCGACGCGUCGAGUUGCGUCGGUGUCGGCGGGGUGGCGGCAGCCAGGCGCACGAGGAGGAGGCUCGAAACUGUUCGUUUCCUCUAGUGGCUCUCGUGUGCUCGCGUGACACGUGCGUGAAGGAAAAGACAAGCCAGGUUUUGUGUUUGGUGGUGAAAAAUUCGACGACUCACGUUAACACACCCCCGCUUACGCCGUUGACCCCCCCUCACCACCGCCCCCCCCACCGCAUUAUCGUGUAUUUCGUUUUUUUUUUCUUUUGCCUUUCGUCGACGAACGUGCGUUAACACUACCACCCCCCACUGUACUUUCUGUUUUUUCUUUUUAUUUUUCUUUUUCUUUUUCUUCUUCUUCUUCUAUUUUGCGUCGAGAAAGAUCAGAAACAAAAAGGACAGACGCGCACGCACGCACGCACGAAAGGCAAAAAAAUAGAAAAUGAGGAAAAAUUAAAGGACAACGUCGAUCGAUCGAUCCUGCCUUCUUCUUCUACCGAAGAGAUUCGUCUUAUUACAAUUUAAUUAUUCCCCGAGUGGAUGGAUAGUCAUCGAGGAAGAUUUCGAGGUUACGGACUAUAGGACGAGGGAAAGGAUUUCUUUUUUUCUUCAUUUCUCUCAUCCCCCCUCACCACAACCACCAUCCUCAUCCCUGUCGUUUAUUCCUCCCUCGCCCCCUAAUAAAUUAAAAAAUAUCCAAGAACGAGAAGAAGAAGAAGAAGAAGAAGAAGAAGAAGAAGAAAGAUAUCGAAAAUUCGAGAGAGUUCACAGUGAAUAUAUUUUAUUAAAAAAUAUAAUAAGUGUAUUAUAAUUCGAUCAUAAAAAUUUGAUCAUAAAAAAACUAUGUGUGAAUCAGUGAUCAAUCUAUACAUCGAACAUUUCAAUCAAAUUCAAAGUGAAAUCGUCAGUCGUAAAACGAGAAAGAAAGUUAAGUGUGGUGAAACGAAAACGUCUGUCGUUUUAAUAAAAAGACAACGAUUACGAUAGACAAAAGUUUUAUUUCGCGAAAAUAUUAUAAUAUGGUUUUUUAAAAGAAGAUAUUCAAGAAAUUGGAAUUACACGUCGCAAGAGAAGAAAAAUUAUGCAAAUUGUGUGGGUGUGCGCGUGUGUAUACGUGUUAGUAGUGUGCGUUCGAUAAGAAGAAAAAAGAAAAUCUUGGAGAAACUUAAAAAAAAGGUGGAAAUCAAGGAACAAUAGUGGUGUGGAUGAACGGGUUUAAGAUGAAAUGAUAUCAAGUAGUCCUUUACUUUCUGUUUGUGAACAGUGAACGAAGGAUAUAAAAAAGUGAUUUUCAUUCGUUCUACUAUCGUUACGAUUACAUACCUUUUUGAUAAGGAAAAAUAAAAGAAAGAAAGAAAGAAAGGAAGAAAGAAAGGAAAGAAAAAUAAAACAAUGUGAAUCGAAGAAUGAUGAGUUAUCCUGACACGAGUUAUGCCGUAAGGAGGAGACUCUUUAUCAGGAACAGAAAGAAAUGAAGUUAUCAGUGUCGGCUUACAGAGCUCAGGCCAGUGCUCAUAAAAAAAUCCUUUGCAAUUAUCAACAACAACUUAGUUACGGUGCUACAAAUCAGGCAUCCUCGAACCGGACCCCCUCGGACCCCGCUGCGGUCCUGUCUGGCCUCAAGCUCUGAAUGUACCAAUUAGGAGUGCGCGCGAUCUUAGAAAAUGUCACAAAGACAGCCAGUGGUUCGUAUAUCGCUCCCCGUAAGU
rnacentral:lncRNA from 1 species